rnacentral:rRNA from 1 species
AUUGAACGCUGGCGGCAGGCCUAACACAUGCAAGUCGAGCGGAUGAAGGGAGCUUGCUCCUGGAUUCCGCGGCGGACGGGUGAGUAAUGCCUAGGAAUCUGCCUGGUAGUGGGGGAUAACGUCCGCAAACGGGCGCUAAUACCGCAUACGUCCUGAGGGAGAAAGUGGGGGAUCUUCGGACCUCACGCUCUCAGAUGAGCCUAGGUCGGAUUAGCUAGUUGGUGGGGUAAAGGCCUACCAAGGCGACGAUCCGUAACUGGUCUGAGAGGAUGAUCAGUCACACUGGAACUGAGACACGGUCCAGACUCCUACGGGAGGCAGCAGUGGGGAAUAUUGGACAAUGGGCGAAAGCCUGAUCCAGCCAUGCCGCGUGUGUGAAGAAGGUCUUCGGAUUGUAAAGCACUUUAAGUUGGGAGGAAGGGCAGUAAGUUAAUACCUUGCUGUUUUGACGUUACCAACAGAAUAAGCACCGGCUAACUUCGUG